rnacentral:rRNA from 1 species
GACGAACCGUGCGAACGCUGUUCGGAAUCACUGGGCUUAAAGGGCGCGUAGGCGGGCGGUCAAGUCGGUGGUGAAAUCCUUCAGCUCAACUGGAGAAUGGCCGCCGAUACUGACUGCCUCGAGGGAGGUAGGGGCAUGUGGAACUCAGGGUGGAGCGGUGAAAUGCGUAGAUAUCCUGAGGAACGCCGGUGGCGAAAGCGACGUGCUGGACCUCUUCUGACGCUGAGGCGCGAAAGCCAGGGGAGCAAACGGG